rnacentral:rRNA from 1 species
ACAGAUGGGAGCUUGCUCCCUGAUGUUAGCGGCGGACGGGUGAGUAACACGUGGGUAACCUGCCUGUAAGACUGGGAUAACUCCGGGAAACCGGGGCUAAUACCGGAUGCUUGUUUGAACCGCAUGGUUCAAACAUAAAAGGUGGCUUCGGCUACCACUUACAGAUGGACCCGCGGCGCAUUAGCUAGUUGGUGAGGUAAUGGCUCACCAAGGCAACGAUGCGUAGCCGACCUGAGAGGGUGAUCGGCCACACUGGGACUGAGACACGGCCCAGACUCCUACGGGAGGCAGCAGUAGGGAAUCUUCCGCAAUGGACGAAAGUCUGACGGAGCAACGCCGCGUGAGUGAUGAAGGUUUUCGGAUCGUAAAGCUCUGUUGUUAGGGAAGAACAAGUACCGUUCGAAUAGGGCGGUACCUUGACGGUACCUAACCAGAAAGCCACGGCUAACUACGUGCCAGCAGCCGCGGUAAUACGUAGGUGGCAAGCGUUGUCCGGAAUUAUUGGGCGUAAAGGGCUCGCAGGCGGUUCCUUAAGUCUGAUGUGAAAGCCCCCGGCUCAACCGGGGAGGGUCAUUGGAAACUGGGGAACUUGAGUGCAGAAGAGGAGAGUGGAAUUCCACGUGUAGCGGUGAAAUGCGUAGAGAUGUGGAGGAACACCAGUGGCGAAGGCGACUCUCUGGUCUGUAACUGACGCUGAGGAGCGAAAGCGUGGGGAGCGAACAGGAUUAGAUACCCUGGUAGUCCACGCCGUAAACGAUGAGUCUAAGUGUUAGGGGGUUUCCGCCCCUUAGUGCUGCAGCUAACGCAUUAAGCACUCCGCCUGGGGAGUACGGUCGCAAGACUGAAACUCAAAGGAAUUGACGGGGGCCCGCACAAGCGGUGGAGCAUGUGGUUUAAUUCGAAGCAACGCGAAGAACCUUACCAGGUCUUGACAUCCUCUGACAAUCCUAGAGAUAGGACGUCCCCUUCGGGGGCAGAGUGACAGGUGGUGCAUGGUUGUCGUCAGCUCGUGUCGUGAGAUGUUGGGUUAAGUCCCGCAACGAGCGCAACCCUUGAUCUUAGUUGCCAGCAUUCAGUUGGGCACUCUAAGGUGACUGCCGGUGACAAACCGGAGGAAGGUGGGGAUGACGUCAAAUCAUCAUGCCCCUUAUGACCUGGGCUACACACGUGCUACAAUGGACAGAACAAA